rnacentral:rRNA from 1 species
UACAGAGGUCUCAAGCGUUGUUCGGAUUCAUUGGGCGUAAAGGGUGUGUAGGUGGCGCCGUAAGUCGGGUGUGAAAUUUCGGAGCUUAACUCCGAAACUGCAUUCGAUACUGCGGUGCUUGAGGACUGGAGAGGAGACUGGAAUUUACGGUGUAGCAGUGAAAUGCGUAGAUAUCAGGAGGAACACCAGUGGCGAAAGCGGCUCACUGGCCGGAAUCUGACACUGAGGUGCGAAAGCUAGGGUAGCAAACGGG